GUCACGAAGAUGGCACAGUCAUAGUGUAAGGUGGCGUUGGUACAGUGCAGUAUAUGUUGUGUAUGCUGGAGUGAUGUGCGGCGUUCAGUUUGUUUAGAAAUCUGCUAGAGAUUGGUAAUAAUGCCGAAAUUGCGUGACGCAGACGUGAAAGCAUUAGAAGAAUAUAUAGCGACUGGAUUCCAGAAAUCAUUUCCUGUUGAAGAAGGUGCAUGCAGUGAAAUCAUUGUAUAUCUCAGACAUGGGAAGUAUGCAGAUAUAUUGGAGUCUGAGCUGUCAAAGGCUGUGUUUAACAAAUUUCUGAGUUGUGCUUCAACAGAAGAGCUCUUGGACAAGUCCUUGCAGUAUUCUGUUGAGUGCUAUAUCGACCAGAAUGAAUUAUCACUGGAAAGGCAGCUGGACGUGCUGUGUGUCGGGAUCUCGUCGCUGCUGUUCUUUGUCCGGGCAAACUGGACAGGCCCUCCCGUGGAGCCAAGCGACCUGCCCCCGUGGCUGCGGGACAGGGAUGGCGUUGCGGCGGCCUGCCUCGUGCUGGACGGGGAGGCCCUCUAUCCCUCCACCAGGCACGUCCAACUGCUCGCCGUCGCUGCUGCAGUCUUCAAGACCACUGCAGAGAGGUUCUCUGCCAAUCUACCCACGACUCCGUGGUGGCUGAUGCGCUACCUGGUGGCACACCAGCGCGUCCUGGAGGAGGCGUCCCCCACGCUGCACGCUUCCCUCGUGUCGCUGCUCGAAGGCAAGGUGGCAGAGGCGAGCUCGGGCCCGCUGGUGGGCGGUAUCGCAGGGGUGCUGCUGCCCCUCGAGUCGGCCCUCAUCUGGCUCCACUUCGGGCAGGUGCUGCGCUCCAAGGAGCUGCUGCUCGCCGCACUCGGGCGGGCCGGGCUCACGCUGGAGCUUGUCGGUGCUAUGGGAAAAAGAACCCGUUAUCAAGAAAAGGAGCUCGCUCAGCUGACUCUAAAAGUUGAGCUGGAAGCAACAGAACAGCCUUCAGGUGAUGGGAUCAGUGGCCUGAGCUCGGAAGAGUUGGCUGAUCGCCUACCAAAGGACCUGCAACUUGAUGACGAUGUCCGGUUGAACCGCAUCCAGUAUGCAGAAGACAGUGGUGCCGGUGAAUAUCCCAAGCUGAGCCCCUCCGAUCAGGCAGUUAUCCUUGGUGCAUUUGUCCAAACCCAGAAAUCUCAACCCAAGGACAGACUUGCUGAUGAGGAACUGAUGCCUUACCUAGAGUGUGUGCUGGCAGCUCCCCAGUCCUGGAGUGUCCAGAUGUCAGCGCUGUUGCUUCGCUGCCGACUGGAGUCGUGGCAUUCACGCACAGUGGAGCGUUCGAUGAAUCAGUGCCAGAUUCUGGUAGAUGCCAUAGACAGCGACAAGCCUCCAGUAGCCUUCCGGUGGCCGCAGCUCUUCUCUACUCCUCUGCCGCCGCGGUGGCACAUCGAGUCGGAACUGGCACACCUGCUGCUGUCCCUGGGUGCCGUGAACAGUGCCCUCGACAUCUUCCUGCGUCUCGAGGAGUGGGAGGCCGUCGUCAACUGCUACCACAUGCUCAAGCUGCGCCAUAAGGCUGCCGAGAUAGUGAGGCACGAGCUGCAGAAGAAGGAGACAGUGAAGCUGUGGUGCCUGCUCGGGGACUCGACAGACGACCCGGUGUACUACGAGAGGGCCUGGGAGCUGUCAGGACGGCGCAGCGCGCGUGCCCAACGCCACUGGGGGCUGUUCUACUUCAACCGCAAGCAGUAUGACAAGGCCAUUCAACAUCUCUCAAAAUCCCUCGAAAUCAACAGCUUGCAGGCAGGUCUGUGGUCCAGGCUCGGUUUUGCCUGCCUCGAGGAAAGCCAGUGGGACAUGUGUGCUACUGCUUACCGCCGCUACUGUGCCCUCGAUAACGAGAACUUCGAGGCUUGGAACAAUCUGGCGAAGGCCUACGUAAAACUGGGUCAAAAGGCUCGCGCCUGGAAGGCACUGAAAGAAGCUCUCAAAUGUAAUUUUGAGAACUGGAAAGUGUGGGACAAUCUCAUGAUUGUGAGCACUGACUGCGCAGAGUUUGAAGACGUCAUACAAGCAUAUCACAGGAUAUUGGACCUCAAAGCUAAGCAUGUCGAUGAGGAUGUCCUUCGAAUCCUGGUGAAAGCAGUGGCAAACAACCUCCCAGAUAAUGCCGGUGUGCCAUCACGGAGACUGAUAAAGGCUGCACUGGGUCUGUUUGGGCGUCUUACAGGACAGGUGACGAACAACCCAACGCUGUGGCGGCUUUAUGCACAGCUGACGUCGAGCCAGGAGGUGCAGACCCCAGAGACACUGCAGCGCACAGCGCAGUACCUGCAGAGGGCACACCGCUCUGCCGUGCAGGACCUCCGGUGGGCUUCCGACCGGCAGACCGCCGCCGACGUGCUCGGCCUCUGUAUCGAGUUGGUUGAUGCCUACCUCCAGUGCUUCCAGAAGUUUCCGACAAACCAGGGCCUCCAGAUGCUGUCCUCAGGAAGACUAUCGCUUAAAAGUGUCCUCGCAAAGGUUAAGCAAGAACAGACUGAUCUGGCAUCAGGCACCCUGUCAGAGGAACUGAAGGAUUUGGUGUCAACUCUGGAGGUGAAGUUGGAAAGCAUCGAAUCGGAGAUGGCACAACUGCGUGGCCAAUCGGAGCAACAGUGAGCUUUCCUGAGAUCUCUCACUUCACUGUGCUAUACUGAACAAUAAUGUGAAUGUGCUCAAGCCAGCCAGAGCAGCUUUCCAUUCAUCUUAGGACUGCGUGACAGUGGAGUAAAUGAGUCUGGAUGUGUCACUGGUAUCAAGAUAGUAUACUUUGUACAUACUAAUAAAGACAUGGAAUUGUAA
rnacentral:misc_RNA from 1 species